rnacentral:rRNA from 1 species
UACGGAGGGUGCAAGCGUUAAUCGGAAUUACUGGGCGUAAAGCGGGUGUAGGUGGUUAUAUAAGUCAGAGGUGAAAGCCCAGGGCUCAACCCUGGAAGUGCCUUUGAUACUGUAUGACUUGAGUGUGGGAGAGGGUGCUAGAAUUCCUGGUGUAGUGGUGAAAUGCGUAGAGAUCAGGAGGAACACCGGCGGCGAAGGCGGGUGCCUGGCCCAACACUGACGCUCAGGCCCGAAAGCGAGGGGAGCAAACAGG